rnacentral:rRNA from 1 species
UAGCUACGGGAGGCAGCAGUAGGGAAUCUUCGGCAAUGGACGAAAGUCUGACCGAGCAACGCCGCGUGAGUGAAGAAGGUUUUCGGAUCGUAAAGCUCUGUUGUAAGAGAAGAACGAGUGUGAGAGUGGAAAGUUCACACUGUGACGGUAUCUUACCAGAAAGGGACGGCUAACUACGUGCCAGCAGCCGCGGUAAUGCUA